rnacentral:rRNA from 1 species
CCUACGGGCGGCAGCAGUGAGGAAUAUUGGUCAAUGGACGAGAGUCUGAACCAGCCAAGUAGCGUGAAGGAUGACUGCCCUAUGGGUUGUAAACUUCUUUUAUAUGGGAAUAAAACGUUCCACGUGUGGGAUUUUGUAUGUACCAUAUGAAUAAUGAUCGGCUAACUCCGUGCCAGCAGCCGCGGUAAUACGGAGGAUCCGAGCGUUAUCCGGAUUUAUUGGGUUUAAUGGGAGCGGAGGUGGAUUGUUAAGUCAGUUGUGAAAGUUUUCGGCUCAACCGUAAAAUUGCAGUUGAAACUGGCAGUCUUGAGUACAGUAGAGGUGGGCGGAAUGCGUGGUGUAGCGGUGAAAUGCUUAGAUAUCACGAAGAACUCCGAUUGCGAAGGCAGUUCACUGGACUGCAACUGACACUGAGGCUCGAAAGUGUGGGUAUCAAACAGGAUUAGAUACCCUGGUAGUC